rnacentral:lncRNA from 1 species
CCCAUUUUCAAUUCUGUCCAGCUUUUUUGUUGAACCUCAUGAAGAUAACCCAAAGAUUGAUUACUCAUUAAUAAAACCACCUUAAGUAUUUGGGUCACAGGUGUUCUAGUUGUUGGGUCAUUAUAUUUGGGUCUAUAGUUGUUUUGUACAAAUAGUUAGAUACCCGACUCAUUUGUAAGAAAAUAUCUAGCAUAUAGUACUGUACAGUUUAGAAACGCUUAUCAUUUUUUCAUAAUAGGAAACAUUUCUUCUCUCUCUACCUUUACUCUUCCUUUACUCUUUCAAGCUCAAUAAAGUUUCUAACAUGGUAUCAGAGCCAUAAGCUUAUUCUCUACCUAUUCUUCAUGUGUACUCAAUUUUACCCGGGUUCCAUAGUUCUCAACUGAUUUUUCCUUCUCAGCUUUAUACACCCGUUAGGGUUCCGGUGUCCUCGUCGGAAUCAAUUCCAGCUUUCAUCUUAGCUCUGCACAGUUUUUUAGCCCAAUCUCGGCUUGAUCUAUGCUUGAAGUUGGAUUUGGUGUUCGAAGUGAGGUCACGACGGUGUUUACAUUUCAUUUUGGCUUCCACGACACAGUCUAUUCACUCCUUCAGCUGUGAAAAGGUCUUGUAUUGUUCCUCACCAUCAUUGAAUAUUAUUGUGUUGUGAUUAUCCUUGUCUGGUACGCCUAGAUUUGUAUUGAUAUAGCUCCUACUAUUUUAAAUUCCACUACUUCAAGUGUAGAUCUUGAUGUUGUUUCCGUUGUUAACCCUUCGUCUCCAUUAUACCUCCUUUCAUCUGAUUCCCUCGACACAAUUUUGGUUAUCACGCCUUUUAAUAGCACGGAUUAUGGUAGUUGGCAGCGGGGAAUGUUGUUAGGAUUGUCUUGCAAAAAUAAACUAGGAAUGAUCAAUGGUUCUAUUCCUAAGACUCCUACUACUGAUCCACAGUUUCAGGUGCAAUGAUAUGGUAGUAGCUUGGAUUUUAAACAGUCUAGAUAAGGAAAUUAGAGAAACUGUGAUGUACACGAAAUCUGCUAAGGUUUUGUGUAAGGAAGUUGAGAAUAGAUUUGGUCAAGCUAGUGGUACCAAAAUUUUCCAAAUCAGGAAAGAAAUUUCCUCUAUUUCUCAAGGUUCCUCGAGUGUUGCUUCCUACUUCAAUAUGAUUAAGAAACUCUGGGAUGAGUUGUCUUUCUCCACUACCUAUCCUGAUUGUACUUGUGGGUGUAAGGAUGGUUUUCUAAGGUUAGAAGAGGAGCAAAAGGUUCAUCAGUUUCUCAUGGGACUGAAUGAUUCCUAUUCAACUAUCAGGAGGAACAUCCGUAUGCUAAAACCUCUUCCUGACAUUGAUAGUGUGUAUUCCAUGUUGAUAACUGAUGAGAGCCAGUCUGAACUGCAGACUAAUCUCCCUUCCUUCAACUCUGACUCAGUUGCUUUCUCCAUUGUUAACCAAAGACCUUACAUUCAAAAACCAAGUCCAGAGCCCGGUGGUUUACCUGCCGCGGCUCCCAGAUUUUACAAUUCGAGGAUUAAUUUUGACCAUACUUUCAAAAGAAACACUAUGAUUUGUAGAUAUUGCAAGAAACCUGGGCAUCAAAUUGACAAGUGUUACAAGCUACAUGGAUUUCCUUCUACCACUCUUGUUGGACAACCUAAAUUCAGGAAAUCUGCAGCUUUUGUCCAGGUCUCAGAGUCUCAACAAAUGGGCACAUCGAUUCUCCUCUAUACACUAAUUCCCCUGCUAAUUCUAGCAUUUCCAAGGAACAAUUUGAGCAACUACUAAGUUUCUUCUAGCAGGCUAAAAUCACCAGUCCGUCUUCUCAAGAAAUCACUGCUGGUUCUGCUAACUUUGCAGGUUUGAUUAACAAUUCUGAUCCUAGACUUUGUAGUUUACUUGCAUAAACUUCUCUAAGGUAGACAAUAGUCUGUGGAUCAUAGACUCGGGUGCCACUAAUCAUAUGACAUCCCACUCAUCAUUUCUCUCUAAUAUCACACCUCUCAAUGUUCCAUAUCUUGUGACUCUACCCAAUGGGUAUAAAGUCAAAGUUAUGUGCACCGGCACCCUUACCCUUUCCCCAGAUAUAUCCUGAACUAAUAUGCUAUUAGUUCCCUCAUUUCAAUAUAAUCUGAUUUCUCUUGCUCAGUUAAUUAUCCAGUUGCAUUGUUCAGCUUAUUUUACUUCUCCUGCAUGUAUUUUGCAAGGCCCUUCUCUGAAGUGGCCAGUGGAUCUUGGUAAACUUCAAGGUGGGCUUUACAUCCUGAAUCCUCAUUCAUUUGCAUCAUUCACCUGUUCUUCUACUUCUUUUACUAAUUUAUUUGUAAAUACCAUUACUGCCACUCCAUUUACUGAACAUAAAUAAGAACAGUGCUUUUACUUCUAAUCCUAAUGGUACUAUUUCUUCCUCUGUACUUGAUGUGCAUUGACUACUUCUACUACUUUUCCUACUUUGUCCACAGAUCAUAUUUGGCAUUUACGUUUAGGUCAUAUGCCUUUUAACAAGAUGCUUAAACUACCUUUUUUUUAAUCUAAAGUCUUACCUAAGAAACAAUCUUUUUAAUGCUCCAUUUGUCCCAUGGCUAGGCAGCAAAGAUAACCUUUCCUGAGAGCUCCAUUCAUUCUACUACUCCUUUUCAAUUAAUUUACUUGGAUCUUUGGGGUCCUUAUCAUACACACACUUAUAAUGGUUUCAAAUACUUCCUGACACUAGUGGAUGACUUUACUAGAGCUACUUGGACACAUCUAUUAUCUACCAAGGGUAAUGCCUUCAUCCUCAUCCAAUCUUUCUUCUUCAUGGUUAAAACCCAAUUUAACACCACUAUUUAGACUGUCAGAUCUGACAAUGCCCUUGAAUUGGGGUGUAGUUCAACAGCUUCUACCUUUUUUUCAACCCAUGGAAUCUUGCAUCAAACCUCCUACCCUGACACACCACAACAAAAUGGUCUAGUGGAAAAGAAACACAAACAUCUCCUUGAAACUGCUAGGGCCCUUUUAUUUCAAUCUAAACUUCCAAUUAAGUAUUGGGGAGAAUGUGUACUCACUGCUACCUAUUUAAUAAAUAGGUUUCCAACACCACUUUUGCAUUACAAAUCCCCUUUUGAGUUACUUCAUGGUAUUUCUCCUUCCUUUGCACAUUUAAAAGCUUUUGGAUGCCUAUGUUUUGCUGCUGUCCCUAAACCACAUAGAGAUAAGCUCCAGUCCAGGUCCUACCCCUUAAUUUUUCUUAGGUAUAGUCAUGGCAAGAAAAGUUACAAACUUUUAAGACUCUCUGAUCACAAUAUUUUCCACUUCAGGGAUGUUAUAUUCCAUGAAAAUGUUUUCCUAUUCAUCCUCUGUUUCUUCUCCUUUUUUUCCUCCUGAUCUUUCUCCCGCUAUACCUGAUCAGCCCUCAUAUCCUUCUGUUGUCCCUGCUCCUACCUCUGAUAUCCCUUCUUCUAUUCUUGUUCCUGCUAAAAAAAAAAUCUUUUAGAACUUCUCACACUCCACCUUACCUCAGUGAUUAUGUGUGCAGUUCUGUUUCUAGUUCUAGGGUUGUUUCUCUAUCUUCUGAGACUUGCUUACAAGAACCUCAAUUCUAUCAUCAGGCUGUUUCAAAUCCUGCCUGGCAGGAAGCCAUGAUGAAAGAAUUUAAGGCUUUGGAGAACACUCAUACAUGGGAUAUUGUUCCCUUGCCUGCUGGUAAGAAGGUCAUUCCUUGUAAGUGGGUCUAUAAAAUCAAACAGAGGUCUGAUGGUACUAUUGAACGAUACAAAGCUAGGUCGAUCAUUCGAGGUGAUGCCCAACAAGAAGGUAUAGAUUUUAUAGAAACUUUUUCACCGGUGGUCAAGCUAACCACCAUCAAAUGUUUGUUGUCUGUGGCUGUCAAAAGAAAUUGAAUUGUUCACCAACUUGAUGUGAACAAUGCUUUCCUACAUGGUGAUUUGGAUGAGAAAGUGUUUAUGAAAAUUCAUCCGGGUCUUACUGUUGGUACUAGACUUACUAUUGUGGCUGUUUAUGUGGAUGGCAUUCUCUUGGCUGGUGAUGAUGAAUCUGAGAUCUCUGCUCCCAAACUUUUCCUGGAUGCUAACUUUAGAAUUAAGGACCUUGGCCUUAUUCAUUAUUUCCUUGGUCUGGAGAUUAUUCAUUCUCCUCAGGGCUUCUUGGUCAGUCAACAUAAGUUUGCCUUGAAUCUCUUAACAGAAUUUCACUGUACUAAUGUGAGUCCUGUUGUUUCUCCACUUGACCCUCAUGUUAAGCUCUCUUCUAAUUCUGGAGAUCUGUUACCUGAUCCUUCUGUGUACAGAAAACUUGGAGGGAAAUUAAAUUUCCUCCAACAUACUAAAUCGGACUUGUCUUUCACAGUACAACACCUUCAUCAGUUCAUGACUUCUCCCAGAACUACCCAUCUCACUGCUGCCCAUCAUGUUCUGCGAUACUUAGCUAGUACAUCCCAUUUGGGACUCUUCCUCAGUAACUCAUCUGAUGUUUCUCUCCAAGGCUUUUGUAAUUCAAAUUGGGCCAGCUGUGCUACUACCAGACGAUCUGUUUCUGGUUUUGUGUUAUUUCUUGGAGGUUGCCCUAUAUCUUGAAAAUCCAAGAAGCAGCCCACUAUUGCUUUGUCUACUAUCGAGGCCGAAUACAGAGCCUUAAGACUCUUAGUUGCUGAGAUCACCUGGGUGGUCCGUUUAUUGGCUGACUUGGGUGUUCAUGAUCUUAUUCCUGUAAAUGUAUUACUGAUGGUCUCAUUUCCCUUCACUUCAUCUCCUCUAAUGGUCAACUUGCUGAUAUAUUUACCAAGUCUCUUCUUGGUGUUCCUCAUAAACACUUCAUCUCCAAGCUUGGAAUGGCAAAACCUUCCAGCUUGAAGGAGGCUGUUGAACCUCAUGAAGAUAACCCAAAGAUUGAUUACUCAUUAAUAAAACCACCUUAAGUAUUUGGGUAACAAGUGUUCUAGUUGUUGGGUCAUUAUAUUUGGGCCUAUAGUUGUUUUGUACAAAUAAUUAGAUACUCGACCCAGUUGUAAGGAAAUAUCUAGCAUAUAGUACUGGACAGUUUAGAAACGGUUAUCAUUUUUUCAUAAUAAGAAACAUUUUUUCUCUCUCUACCUUUACUCUUCCUUUACUCUUUCAAGCUUAAUGAAGUUUCAAGAUUAGAUCAGAAAUGGAGAUUGAUUGGCGUUAUAUUCGUUGUUAACAUUUUUGGGCCUAUUUUAAUAGACCUUUUUAGCCACUUUGCAGAUGUAUACCAGCUGUAUAUCAGUUGUAUCUUCAUGUAUACCGGCCUUCAUUUGCAGCGUUUUUCUGUAUAUACGUUGUAUAUCAGUGGAUAAAACUGAUAUCUUCAUUCCUUGCCUUCGUUUACUACUGUAUACCUAUGUAUAGCAGUUCCGUUUAGAUGACUUUGAGGCUUGAACACGAGAUUUGGGGCCUCCUUGACCCAUCGUAGAAAUGUGGGGAAGGACGGUCCCACUGGACUCCCACGAAUUCACAUGCCACAAGAUAAGAUCAAGAAUUAAUAUUCACCCGAAAUAUAAAAUGACGAAUCCAAAUAAAAUAUCAUGAACCAAGAAGACAAAAAUUUAUCUUUCAAGCCAUGUCAAAGUCUAGAAUACACAUUCAAGUUUUGGAAAAGAAAACAAAUUCAAUGAUGAAUAAAGACACUACAUUACAUGAUUUGCAUAUUGAAAUAAGAAAUGAACAAUAAUCCAAACAACUCAAAUAUGUUACGGGUUACAGACACCGAUCUCUAAUCAGGGCUCAUAUGUUGAUUUUUUUAACAAUCAAAAAAGAGAAAACUUAAAGAGGAAUUACUAAAAUCUUAUAGAAAACAAAAUAAGACAAAGAAAAUUCUAAAGAACACACAAGGAAAAUGCACACUAUUUAGCCUACAAUUAUUCACCCUUCUCUUUGACAGAUCAUAAUGGAUUUAUGGGUUCAAAUAUCAUGUCAUGGGACUACAGACAUGUUUUCCUCAUUUCUUUUGGCAUUGAAAGCCGAAGAAACUUAGGAUGUAGUUUCUGUUCACAAUAUCAAGCAAAACAGUGAAAGAAAAUGGUAACAAGUAGUAUCGAACUGAAAACAGGGGAUCAAAAUCCCGAUAAUCAAAGUUUACGCCACAUCUUUGUAAGCCGAUUAGCUGAUACAAGGGCAUUUAAAUCAAAAUAAUAAAUCAAAUCACAAGCAGCGAACACCAUGCGAACACAACAGACUAACAUUCGACUAACGAAAUGAAUCGAAUCACAACAAACACCAUGGUAAGAAAAGACAGUAGGCUAAGACAAACAGGGGUUUUCUGAAGGUAAAACAAAAAUCAUGUAGCUAAAAUAAUGGAUUAAACAAUUAAGACAAGGAUAUUAACUCAAUGUAAUAUUUAUGAACUUUAUCACGAAAAUUUUUACAGCCUUCAAAGCUUCUACAGCAAACAAUCAUAUCUAUGAUUACGGAAGAAAUUGCUAGACUUAAAAAGAAGGAGAAGAAUGAAUACAGAAUUGGAAAAGAAAAAGUGUGCUUACCUUUUCCGGAGCAGCCAACCGAGACGGCGAAUCUACGACGACUUCACCACGUUCUUCGAUUCCAAAACAACAAGAAGAUUAAAAAAGACUGAGCCAAAAUUCUCACAACUCCAGGCUGGGAACUGAGGUCCGAAGCCCUAGCCCAGAGAAAGAAUUUUCAGCCUUAUUUGGUUUCGAAAAAAAAAUCGCUUUGAACAGUGGAUUAAAUAGGUUUAUAUAGAAAUCCAACAAUCUCAAAUCUUGAAUGAUUAACGAUGUGGGAUUGAAAAAUUGGGGGGCAAUUUUGGGAUUUUAAUGAGGAAUCUUCUUGAAAGACAAGGGUAUGAGCUGGAAUCGUACAAUUUCGUACAAAUUGAAAUUUUGAACGUUGGCGGAUGAGACAUUGUUGGACAAUCUGAAUUCGCAAGUUGUACGCCGGGUUGACGGGUUUUGGUGUUGGGUCCCCGGGUUUCUAGGUCGGUUGGAUUGAAGUCGUUGUUUGUUAUUGUCAUCGCUCGUGGCUGGUGGUUUUGGCUGUUGUCGGCUGUUGAUGUUGAAGUUGUACGUUGUUCACUGGUGUUGUAUUAUCGGGUAAAGACUGAAAGGAGAGGAAACUUAGGCCAGGGUUGGGGUUAUUUGGAGAGCG